UCUAGAAGCAGCUGUUUGCACACAUAACUAGUUAAGUGCGCGAUUUAUGUCGAAUGUAAUAAUUUCAAAUUAUUUAAGAGGAGAAAAAGAAAUAAGCGCAAGGCCAUUCAAAAGGAAACUAGUCCAUAAAGAUCCUCCACCACAACACGCCACUUCAACCAGGGCUUGCACAAGUUGACUUACAGGAAAAAAUUAAAGAAAUUAAUGAAAAUGCUGAUAACUUAAAAUCGUUUUUAUUUGGAAAACUGGACCAAAUUGAAAAAAAUCAAUUAGUCCAAAGGAAGGCCAUAAUGGCAGCAUUAGCGAAGCAAUAAAUUUUAACCAACAAGCUUAUUCGUAAAGAAUCCCUUGCACAGCCUAUAGCCCAACUUUUCCCAAUUUAAUCCGACGAUGCUUUAGAAGCCGUAGAUAACAAAAUUUUUCCGGAGAACCGAGAUAAUUAUAUUUCCAUAAUGAGCCAGCUACUGCAACAUUCUGCUACGAAAAAUAUUAAAAAUAUCCUCGAUGAAUCAAUAAUAAUGAGUUACAAUGUUGACGGCACUCAUGGCAAAAAAAGUUUGAAGUCAUACAACAUAUUUUUUGCUGCGCUUUUAGACGCUAUUUCACAUUUACCAAGCGACACAAAUCUUGAAGAGCAGUUGCGCAAGGCCUUUAGAAUUCACAAGAAACGCUAUUUUAAAAACUCUGCGACAUCAAACAAAUGAGCCAAUAUCAAAUGUUUUUUCCUUACCUAUUGUUUCAAAAUCAAAAUUUUGUUUAAGGAAAACGCUUUAUUUUUAUUAUUUUUUUGCUUCUAAUUAAAAUAGAUUCUACAACUAAGCCGACUAAUAUCCGAGUUCCAAGGUUUGUGCGAAAAUUUGGAAAAUUUAAUAAAUGUUUAUCAAAAGUUAAAAAAAUUACAAAAAGUAUACUGUUUAUUAAGAAAAAUUUCAAGUAUGCAGUUUUAUAGCCCGCUAAAUUUUUAACAGCAAGUUUCAGAAGCUGCGAACUAUCGCUGGCUUUUGACUGUUGAAGUUGUUUCUUAUAUUGUUUCUUAUAUGGAUGAAAAUAAGCAGGUUUGUCAAAAAAAAAAAUCAAAAUUUAACGAUAGUUCGCAGCUUCUUAAACUUGCUCUUAAAAAUUUAAUGGGCUAUAAAAUUGCAUACUUGAAAUUUUUCUUAAUAAACAGUAUAUAUUUUUUUAUUUUUUUUAGCUUUUGAUAAACAUUUAUUAAAUUUUCCAAAUUUUCGCACAAACCUUGGAACUCGGAGAUUAGUCGGCUUAGUUGUAGAACUAAUUAUUAUUUUAUACAAAAAUUCCAAAUUUUUUUAUUUAAUACUUUUAUACAAAAAUGUCCAAAAUUUUAUUUGCUUAGACACAACGAAAUAAUGUCAAAAAACAGUGUGGUGUAUUUUUGUUUGCAUAAUACCGUAUGUAUUAGCUAAGAUUAAACGUCUUUUUCAUAUUUUAACACUUGAAAUGUAUUUUUAAGCAUUGAAUAGCUAAGUAAAUCACUGUCUUUGCUUUGGAAACGUUAUAUCACCAUAAGUAUAACGGAAGUACAUGCUUUUAAUACUUCAUAUUUCAAACAUGGAAAUAUAUUUUUUUCAUCCAAGCGCAUAAAUGCCUCGUAACCACGCAAGCUUACUUAAUUUUGUAUGGGAAACCGGUUUAAUUAUAUUAGGUUUACGUGGCUACGACGCAUUUUGAAUGCGUAAUAUAGCUAUAAAUACAUACGUUAGAGAAAUACAUCACAAAUAUUUCUGUCUUAAACAGCAUAAAAAGUUGUUCCCUUCUUAUUUCAAAAACUGAACCAUGUAUAUGUAUAUUUUUAUACCCGAGCGCACUUGUGCACAAGGGUAUUAUAACUUUGUUCACAUAACGGUUGUU